rnacentral:lncRNA from 1 species
CGGGUUAGGAUUAAAAUAAGUGGACCUACAUGGACCAUAAGUAGUGAGAGUUGACGGAGGGUCAACUACGAUAAUUGGUGAUCAAGCGAGGGAAAUGGCUCCUGAGAGCCCACGUAUCCUACCUUGUGCUGUUAUACGCUUUCCUAACUGUUUAAAUUUGUGCAGUUAUUAAUCGCUGUUUGAAAUUAUGUGAUUGCAUGUUUUGGGGCACCACUGAGCUUUAGCUCACCCCACGUUUAUUGUUUUCCUUAACAGGUUCUGGAAACUGAAAGCUGGAUGCUUAAUUUAUGUUUUUCUUUUGGACUGUAUUUGAAUACUAUAACUUAUUCUGUGGGCUGUAACGUGUUAUAGGGAUA